GCGAAUGUAGCUCAGUUGGUAGAGCGCCAGCUUCCCAAGCUGGAUGUCGCGGGUUCGAAUCCCGUCAUUCGCU
rnacentral:tRNA from 2 species